GGAUUCGACUAAGCCACGCGAGUCGAGAGGGUUCGGCCCUCGGCUGACGGCUCAGUAACACGCGGAUAAUCUGCCCUUAGGUGGAGGAUAAUCUCGGGAAACUGAGAAUAAUAUUCCAUAGAUUUAGGAUGCUGGAAUGCACUUAAAUUAAAAGCUUCGGCGCCUAAGGAUGAGUCUGCGGACUAUCAGGUUGUAGUCAGGGUAACGACCUGACUAGCCUACGACGGAUACGGGUUGUGAGAGCAAUAACCCGGAGAUGAUAUCUGAGACACGAUAUCAGGCCCUACGGGGCGCAGCAGGCGCGAAAACUUCGCAAUGUGCGAAAGCACGACGAGGGAAUCCCAAGUGCUGGCUCGUUAGAGUCAGCUGUUUUUAUGUCUAAAAAGCAUAGAGAGUAAGGGCUGGGUAAGACGGGUGCCAGCCGCCGCGGUAAUACCUGCAGCUCUAGUGGUGGCCGCUAUUAUUGGGCCUAAAACGUCCGUAGCCUGUUUAUUAAAUGCCUAGGUAAAUUGUGUGGCUUAACCAUACGAAUUCUGGGUAGACUGGUAAACUUGAGACCGGGAGAAGCUAGAGGUACUUCUGGGGUAGAGGUGAAAUUCUGUAAUC
rnacentral:rRNA from 1 species